UUUAGCUGAACGCCUGAUCGGUGCCCGCCAAGACGCCAUGCGUCGGGCUUAAUCGGGAAUGGGGAAGGGUUCGCCCAAAGCCCCAGCCGCCCCCGCGACUGUAUGCGGCGAGCGUGCCUUAUCUCAUGCCACUGGGCGCUCGCGCCCGGGAAGGCCCGAGGCACGCCCCGACCCGCAAGCCAGGAGACCGGCCGUCAGCAACGCAACCCA
rfam:Paracoccus halophilus strain JCM 14014 Contig_6, whole genome shotgun sequence.